UACGUAGGGUGCGAGCGUUGUCCGGAAUUAUUGGGCGUAAAGGGCGUGUAGGCGGUUAGUUAAGUCUGGCGUGAAAGCUCUCGGCUAAACCGGGAGAGGUCGUUGGAUACUGGCUGACUAGAGGACGGUAGAGGCGUGUGGAAUUCCGGGUGUAGUGGUGAAAUGCGUAGAGAUCCGGAGGAACACCAGUGGCGAAGGCGACACGCUGGGCCGUACCUGACGCUAAAGCGCGACAGCAUGGGGAGCAAACGGG
rnacentral:rRNA from 1 species